rnacentral:rRNA from 1 species
CCUACGGGAGGCAGCAGUGAGGAAUAUUGGUCAAUGGCCGGAAGGCUGAACCAGCCAUGCCGCGUGGGUGAGGAAGUACUUCGGUAUGUAAAGCCCUAUCAGCAGGGAAGAAAAUGACGGUACCUGACUAAGAAGCCCCGGCUAACUACGUGCCAGCAGCCGCGGUAAUACGUAGGGGGCAAGCGUUAUCCGGAUGUACUGGGGGUAAAGGGAGCGUAGACGGCGUGCCAAGUCUGGUGUGAAAGGCCGGGGCUCAACCCCGGGACUGCAUUGGAAACUGGCAUGCUGGAGUGCCGGAGGGGCAAGCGGAAUUCCUAGUGUAGCGGUGAAAUGCGUAGAUAUUAGGAGGAAAACCGGUGGCGAAGGCGGCUUGCUGGACGGUAACUGACGUUGAGGCUCGAAAGCGUGGGGAGCAAACAGGAUUAGAUACCCCGGUAGUC